rnacentral:tRNA from 1 species
AUUUUCUUAGUAUAAAAAGUACAGGUGACUUCCAAUCACUCAGCCUUGGUUUAAAUCCGGGAGAAAAUA